rnacentral:rRNA from 1 species
CCUACGGGGUGCACCAGUGGGGAAUAUUGCACAAUGGGCGCAAGCCUGAUGCAGCCAUGCCGCGUGUAUGAAGAAGGCCUUCGGGUUGUAAAGUACUUUCAGCGGGGAGGAAGGUGUUAUGGUUAGUAACUACAGCAAUUGACGUUACCCGCAGAAGAAGCACCGGCUAACUCCGUGCCAGCAGCCGCGGUAAUACGGAGGGUGCAAGCGUUAAUCGGAAUUACUGGGCGUAAAGCGCACGCAGGCGGUCUGUCAAGUCGGAUGUGAAAUCCCCGGGCUCAACCUGGGAACUGCAUUCGAAACUGGCAGGCUAGAGUCUUGUAGAGGGGGGUAGAAUUCCAGGUGUAGCGGUGAAAUGCGUAGAGAUCUGGAGGAAUACCGGUGGCGAAGGCGGCCCCCUGGACAAAGACUGACGCUCAGGUGCGAAAGCGUGGGGAGCAAACAGGAUUAGAUACCCUUGUAGUC